rnacentral:misc_RNA from 1 species
GUUUCAUAUGAGAUUCUUGGUGCAUUUGCAAUUAGUGCAGUAUUAAGAUCAUCAGUUGCUACAUGAUGCACCUCCUUUUGCUUCUCAAUACUCAAAAUCAUUGAAUAUGCCUUAUUCACAUUAGGAACGGGAUCCAUAAUCAGUAUUUGAUUUCGACUAUGAUCAUAUCCCUCAUUUAACCCCAUUAAAUAUUGCAUCAGUUUAUCUGCCUCAUCAAUGUUACUCAUAUUUUUUGCAGCACCACAG